AGUGAACGCUGGCGGUAGGCCUAACACAUGCAAGUCGAACGGCAGCACAGUAAGCUCUUGCUCUUACGGGUGGCGAGUGGCGGACGGGUGAGACAUACAUCGGAAUCUACUUUUUCGUGGGGGAUAACGUAGGGAAACUUACGCUAAUACCGCAUACGACCUACGGGUGAAAGCAGGAGAUCUUCGGACCUUGCGCGAUUGAAUGAGCCGAUGUCGGAUUAGCUGGUGGGCGGGGUAAAGUCCCACCAGGGCGACGAGCCGUAGCUGGUCUGAGAGGAUGUUCGGCCAACUGGGAAUUGAGACACGGCCCAACCUCCUACGGGAGGCAGAGUAGGGGAAUUUUGGCAAAUGGGCGAAAGCUUGCGGCAGCCAGACGGGGGGGUGGUAGAAGUCUUCCGAGUUGUAAACUCCGUUUGUUGGGAAAGAAAAGUGGGAAAUUAACACUCCGCUGUUCUGACGUUACCCAAAGGAUAGGCACGGGCAACCUUGGU
rnacentral:rRNA from 1 species